rnacentral:rRNA from 1 species
UACGAAGGGGGCUAGCGUUGCUCGGAAUUACUGGGCGUAAAGCGCACGUAGGCGGCUCUUUAAGUCGGAGGUGAAAUCCUGGAGCUCAACUCCAGAACUGCCUUCGAUACUGAAGAGCUCGAGUCCGGGAGAGGUGAGUGGAACUGCGAGUGUAGAGGUGAAAUUCGUAGAUAUUCGCAAGAACACCAGUGGCGAAGGCGGCUCACUGGUCCGGUACUGACGCUGAGGUGCGAAAGCGUGGGGAGCAAACAGG